CGGCAAAAGCUCAAAUUUGAAAUCUAGCACCUUCGGUGUUCGAGUUGUAAUUUGAAGAUGGUAACCUUGGGUUUGGCUCUUGUCUAUGUUCCUUGGAACAGGACGUCAUAGAGGGUGAGAAUCCCGUCUGAUGAGAUGCCCAUUCCUAUGUAAGGUGCUAUCGAAGAGUCGAGUUGUUUGGGAAUGCUGCUCUAAGUGGGUGGUAAAUUCCUUCUAAAGCUAAAUAUUGGCGAGAGACCGAUAGCGAACAAGUACAGUGAUGGAAAGAUGAAAAGAACUUUGAAAAGAGAGUGAAAAAGUACGUGAAAUUGUUGAAAGGGAAGGGCAUUAGAUCAGACUUGGUGUUUUACGAUUAUCUUCUCUUCUUGAGUUGUGCACUCGUAUUUCACUGGGCCAGCAUCGAUUCGGAUGGCAAGAUAAUGGCAGUUGAAUGUGGCUUCACUUCGGUGGAGUGUUAUAGCUUCUGCUGAUAUUGCCUGUCUGGAUCGAGGGCUGCGUCUUUUGACUA
rnacentral:rRNA from 1 species